rnacentral:lncRNA from 1 species
CAGCCAUACUGACCCUUGAACAGUAACAGGUUUGAGCUUCAUGGGUCCACUUACACCGAGAUUUUUUUUAUUUUUUUGAUAGUAAAUACUGCAGCACUGCACGAUCAGAGGUGAGUUGAAUCUGCAGAUGAGAAUCCAAGGUUGGCUGAUACCUUAGAUGUGGAACCCUGAUUGUGGAGGGCUGACUGUUAAUUAUUGGUGGAUUUUCAGCUACUUGCAGGAUUGGUGCCCCAAAUCCUGUGUUGUUCGUUUGUUCAAGGGUCAACUCUAUUUCUCUUUAGAUCGAAGGUAUAAGCAGAUUUCGCACUUUUCUGUAGCCUCAGAACAUUAUUUUCAGGAUGUCACUGAUCUUAUCAGUCAGUUUUUCAUGCAACUGGGAACUGUGGGGAUGUAUGAUAUUCCACAUCUGAGGAACAAACUGGGUGAGCGCCAUUGAAAUACUUUAACUUUCUUAUUAAAUGCAAGCCUCCCUCCUCCCUUGUGGCUCAUGUAAGUUAAUGUUCAUUUCUUCAUCAGGGAGAGGGAGUUGGAGACUAGAUAGAUCAUGGUUUUCUUACAGAUUUCUUGCUUGAGCCUGCUUAUUUGCCACUUCUUACCUGCCUGCAGUAUUUUCACUUUAGUGUGCUCUGUUUACACACAAGCUUUCUCAAGCGAUGCUCGUAAGUGGACAUGAAACCAAAAAGGUGAAGACUCAGUGAAGGAGAGGAUGGCCCAAAUUCCGUUCACGUCCUUGAAGUAGCUGUGCUGCCUGAGAUUCCUCAUUCUUUUCCUAAAAUGACUCAAGAGGGACCUGUGUGAGACCAUGGCAUUUUAGAUGUGUCUUCCCAGUAGAAAAGGUGGCUCUUCCUAAUGACAGAAAUUAACAUACCUGUCACUCAUCCCUAUGAGACACCACCUGUGUCUUUUUAAACUGGUUCCUUCUCAGAACAGACUAUUGGCUAGGGAGAAAAGGAUCUUUUUUUUCCUCAUACUUUCAGAAUAGAUGUUUAAAUCACUGCUCUCCCUGGAUCCAUAAAUUUCGGUAGCUAAAAUUUUGAUGGAAAAGUAGGCAGUGAGAGAGAAGAGCUGAUGGGGACUUGCCCUCCCUUGCGUUUUAUACAGCAAUCUUUCCCCUUUCCCUUCCUCUUUUAUGUAGCUCCUAAGUAAGGAAAUGAGAUAUGAAAAAGGGAACUGGGGCAAGUGUUGAAAGUACCAUAGCCUUAUCCUGUGUCAUCGUUUUUCAAGCUGGUUAAUGGGCCAGCAGUGGGCCACACAUCUGCCAGGAAAAAAUUGUUCCUAAGUUGUGUCACUUCGUUUUGUAAAGCUCUGAAGGUUCCAGGCAG